rnacentral:rRNA from 1 species
CUACGGGGUGCUGCAGUGGGGAAUAUUGCACAAUGGGCGAAAGCCUGAUGCAGCAACGCCGCGUGGAGGAUGACACUUUUCGGAGCGUAAACUCCUUUUAUAUCCCAAGAUAGUGACGGUAGGAUAUGAAUAAGCACCGGCUAACUCCGUGCCAGCAGCCGCGGUAAUACGGGGGGUGCAAGCGUUACUCGGAAUCACUGGGCGUAAAGAGCGUGUAGGCGGUUUGAUAAGUUGGAAGUGAAAUCCUAUAGCUUAACUAUAGAAUUGCUUCCAAAACUGUUUAACUAGAAUGUGGGAGAGGUAGAUGGAAUUUCUGGUGUAGGGGUAAAAUCCGUAGAUAUCAGAAGGAAUACCUAUUGCGAAGGCGAUCUACUGGAACAGAAUUGACGCUGAGACGCGAAAGCGUGGGGAGCAAACAGGAUUAGAUACCCCGGUAGUC